rnacentral:rRNA from 1 species
CUACGGGAUGCACCAGUGGGGAAUAUUGGACAAUGGGCGAAAGCCUGAUCCAGCAAUGCCGCGUGAGUGAUGAAGGCCUUAGGGUUGUAAAGCUCUUUUACCAGGGAUGAUAAUGACAGUACCUGGAGAAUAAGCUCCGGCUAACUCCGUGCCAGCAGCCGCGGUAAUACGGAGGGAGCUAGCGUUGUUCGGAAUUACUGGGCGUAAAGCGCACGUAGGCGGCUUUUCAAGUCAGGGGUGAAAUCCCGGGGCUCAACCCCGGAACUGCCCUUGAAACUGGAUGGCUAGAAUACUGGAGAGGUGAGUGGAAUUCCGAGUGUAGAGGUGAAAUUCGUAGAUAUUCGGAAGAACACCAGUGGCGAAGGCGACUCACUGGACAGUUAUUGACGCUGAGGUGCGAAAGCGUGGGGAGCAAACAGGAUUAGAUACCCGCGUAGUC